rnacentral:rRNA from 1 species
AUACGGAGGAUGCGAGCGUUAUCCGGAUUUAUUGGGUUUAAAGGGUGCGUAGGUGGUAGAUUAAGUCAGCGGUGAAAGUUUGUCGCUCAACGAUAAAAUUGCCGUUGAUACUGGUUUACUUGAGUAUAGUUGAAGUAGGCGGAAUGUGGUGUGUAGCGGUGAAAUGCUUAGAUAUGCCACAGACCACCGAUCGAGAAGUCAGGUCGCGAGUUCACAACUGACGCUCAUGCACGAAAGCGUGGGGAUCAAACAGGAUUAGAUACCCUGGUAGUCCACGCUGUAAACGAUGAUCACUCGUUGUUUGCGAUAUACAGUAAGCGGCCAAGCGAAAGCAUUAAGUAUUCCACCUGGGGAGUACGCCGGCAACGGUGAAACUCAAAUGAAUUGACGGGG